CUCUGCUCUCCCUCUCUAUCUCC
rnacentral:miRNA from 1 species